AAGUCGUAACAAGGUUUCCGUAGGUGAACCUGCGGAAGGAUCAUUAUCAUAACGUAUCCACGUAUAAACCAAUUAUAAUGUGAAUAAACAAAGCCUUUGAUAGUUAAUGAUUGCUAUCUCAUUUCUGUAUUUUUGAUUAAGGAAAUGUGAUGGACUUGGAUCCUAGUGAUCCUAGCAUUAAUUAUCGAAGUGUAACUAUUAAUCAAAUCUAUUAACCCAUUGAACCGAUAACUUUUAUUAGUUAUUCAUUUUCUUUAUUGUGAACUGAAUUGUUCUUUACUCUUUGAGGUAACUCUCGGG
rnacentral:misc_RNA from 1 species